GUGCUCGCUGCGGCAGCACAUAUACUAAAAUUGGAACGAUCCAGAGAAGAUUAGCAUGGCCCUGCGCAAAGUGUGAUUGUAUUCCUGUAUUCAGUGUGUGAAUGUGUAU